UAGCGAAACAUCUAUAGUACUUCUUAGUGUGUACUUGAUAACAUAGCAAGGCGAGGCAUGGACGCCGAGCCAGCCUGAGCUUCGGCAGGAUGCCGAAUCGAAGGUGGUUCCGUCUAAUUCCGAUACCUUACCUUACACACUUAGAAGUACUUAGGUGUGUAGCGU
rfam:Anaerosporobacter mobilis DSM 15930 genome assembly, contig: EJ17DRAFT_scaffold00017.17